GCCUGGGUGGCUCAGUGGUUGAGCAUCUGCCUUAGGUUCAGGUUGUGAUCCAGGGGCCGUGGGAUUGAGUCCCACAUCAGGCU
rnacentral:tRNA from 1 species